GAUAACAAAGGUGCCCAGAGUUAGGAUGCGGGGGAGUGUUGGGGAUCGGCUUUGGCAGCAGAAGAUCAAUGCUCCACUCUGCUGGACCCUGAAGGCUCCCUGGGCCUCUUGGGAUGAAUGGGCACGCGGCGCGGCCUUGGCUCCCAGCCCCAGGCCCACCUCGGGACGCCUCUGAGCCUGAUGCUUAUGAAGCAGAAUCCUCACCGGAGUGUUCGUCGGAUCUACUGGGCACGGACCAGCUGGGAAGUUUAAGCCGGAGCACUGACGCGGGGAGAGCGGGGCCUUGGACGUCCUGAUCCGACGGGAAAACUCGGGGCAAGGUCACAUUCCGAGGCUCAGGGGACAUGAACUCUGAGGGACCCUCUUCACUCCGGCUCCGAGUCUGACGGACCCCCUGCAUUUCUCUCAGUUGCCCCCUGAUACACUCCCGUCUGAGGUUUGCUUCUGGGGCCCCAGGGCUGACGCACAAACAGAGCUGUGGGGGGAGAG